rnacentral:rRNA from 2 species
GUUGUAUGGUUAAGUGACUAAGCGUACACGGUGGAUGCCUUGGCAGUUGGAG